UGGGGAAUAUUGCGCAAUGGGGGGAACCCUGACGCAGCCAUGCCGCGUGAAUGAAGAAGGCCUUCGGGUUGUAAAGUUCUUUCGGUAUUGAGGAAGGUUGAUGUGUUAAUAGCACAUCAAAUUGACGUUAAAUACAGAAGAAGCACCGGCUAACUCCGUGCCAGCAGCCGCGGUAAUACGGAGGGUGCGAGCGUUAAUCGGAAUAACUGGGCGUAAAGGGCACGCAGGCGGUUAUUUAAGUGAGGUGUGAAAGCCCUGGGCUUAACCUAGGAAUUGCAUUUCAGACUGGGUAACUAGAGUACUUUAGGGAGGGGUAGAAUUCCACGUGUAGCGGUGAAAUGCGUAGAGAUGUGGAGGAAUACCGAAGGCGAAGGCAGCCCCUUGGGAAUGUACUGACGCUCAUGUGCGAAAGCGUGGGGAGCAAACAGGAUUAGAUACCCUGGUAGUCCACGCUGUAAACGCUGUCGAUUUGGGGGUUGGGGUUUAACUCUGGCGCCCGUAACUAACGUGAUAAAUCGACCGCCUGGGGAGUACGGCCGCAAGGUUA
rnacentral:rRNA from 1 species